CUAAUUAUUUUCCAUAAACCAGAGGUAUAGAAUACACUCUGUAUCACAGAAUUUGCAAAACAUACCCAUGUGAUGUUCUGCAGCCCUCCUAUGCAUGGUGCCUAUAGACAUGAUCACGAGUGCAUGAAUAUUCAUGCACUCUGAUUAGUGGUUCAGGACUAUUAUGUGAGGGCGGCCAUAACCUCAAAAGGGCUGACUCAGCAGUUGGAAUCAUUCCUGUGUUUAGCCGGCUCUUAAUACAGGGUUUUGCAGAAUCUUUGAAAUAGAGGGUGUAGAGCGUUCCUUAUAUGGAUAUCUAAUCUUUACACAUUGUGGUGUCAUAAACACAUUGUGGUGAAAUGCCAAGUCUGCUUAGGAAGCAAAAUUCAAAACAAAAUGGCUUUUUCUUGUGAAAAAAAAGCGGCAUUAUUUGGGAUAUAAGAUGAAGUUGAUCCAUCAACUGUUUGUAGAAUAGUGCAUUGUUGACAUGCUGACUAAGAUCUACAACUUUAUGGUUGACCACAGAUAACCUUAUAAGGAACGCUCAACGCAAAACGCAAAGAUUCUGCAAAACCCUGUAGCUGAAGCUCUCUUCUCUGAAGCUUAGAAAACAUUAUUCUGAAGACUGAAUAACAAUAUAAAGCUUUGUCAAGGAGCAAUGGCUAUUAUCCAGCUAUCCUCCUCUUGGCUAUACUAACGGACAAGACUGGACAGUUAGAGGACUGGAGUAUGACCUGCUCGUUCGAGCGUUACUGGGUAGCUCAGAGGCAUCAAGAGAAUCUACGUUUUCUCAAGCAAAGUUUAACUGAGUUUAUACGAGUUGGGGCCUAGAAUCAGAGAAGUCCAGCAGCCUGCUAAAUCGUUUUGAAACGUAAUUUGAAGGCAUUCAAUUAUCUUGAAGUUGCCCUGGGUCACUGUAAUCGUGCUGCAGCACAACUGGCAACUCCCCAGGCCCUUGUGAAGCAGCUCCCCAUGUGCAUCUUUUGUGUACUCACUCUGUGCAUGUACAAAUUUCGAUUAUAAAUAUUUUUUCCGACCACAUAAACAAUGAAAAUUUGACGCAUGCACAGACAACUAGUACCAGGCCUAGUUGUUCGCCUAACCGUUAGCUGUGGCUUAUGCCGUCUAUUGCGUUGGUCUAGAAGGCAGUUUUAAGGCUCUCAUCUACGUCUAGGAUCAUUAGUAGUAUUGCAUACACUUUCUACAUUGUUACAAUGUGCAUGUACAACAGUACGUGUAUAAUUAUAUAAUACAGCUAGAUUUAUGGGCCCCAUAGUCUCCGUAUAGCAAGUGUUUGGAUCUGUGUUACAGCGAAGUUGAAUAAAAGCGAAAACUCGGCCUGGGAUCAAGGCUAUGACUUAAUUAGCCUCGAUUCCAGGCCGUUUAGGCUUUGUAUUAGGAGGCUAUGAUAUAAGGUUACGGUAAACAGUUUGCUCAUGAAUGUUCAUGAUUUUCUUAUAAUGAUUUUUGU